CGGCAUGCCUAAGACAUGCAAGUCGAACGAGGUGACCCAUUGAAGAUGAAGUGCUUGCACAGAUUUGGAUUUGGAUUAUCACCUAGUGGCGGACGGGUGAGUAACACGUAGGUGAUCUGCCCUUAAGUUUGGAAUACCUAUUGGAAACGAUAGUUAAUACCGGAUAACACAUUAAUUCGUUUUAAUGUUGAAAGGAGCCUUUAAAGCUUCGCUUUUGGAUGAGCCUGCGGUGCAUUAGAUAGUUGGUGGGGUAAUGGCCUACCAAGUCAACGAUGCAUAGCCGAACUGAGAGGUUGAUCGGCCACAUUGGGACUGAGACACGGCCCAAACUCCUACGGGAGACAGCAGUUAGGAAUAUUCGUCAAUGGGGGAAACCCUGAACGAGCAAUGCCGCGUGAACGAUGAAGGCCCUAUGGGUUGUAAAGUUCUGUUAUAUGGGAAGAACAGUUAAAAUAGGAAAUGAUUUUAAUUUGACGGUACCAUGUCAGAAAGCUCCGGCUAACUACGUGCC
rnacentral:rRNA from 1 species